GUGCGGUGGUCUCCCUUCAUAACGAAUAAUCUUUCGCCUUUUACUAAAGAUUUCCGUGGAGGGGGACUCACUGAUGAGUCUAUAAUGAAAUUUUUUGUAGUGCCUUGUCGUCAGACGAG
rnacentral:snRNA from 1 species